rnacentral:rRNA from 2 species
CGCGGCCUAUCAGCUUGUUGGUGAGGUAACGGCUCACCAAGGCAUCGACGGGUAGCUGGUUUGAGAGAACGAUCAGCCACACUGGAACUGAGACACGGUCCAGACUCCUACGGGAGGCAGCAGUGGGGAAUCUUGCACAAUGGGCGAAAGCCUGAUGCAGCGACGCCGCGUGGGGGAUGAAGGCCCUAGGGUCGUAAACCCCUUUCAGUAGGGACGAAAAUGACGGUACCUACAGAAGAAGGUCCGGCCAACUACGUGCCAGCAGCCGCGGUAAGACGUAGGGACCGAGCGUUGUCCGGAUUUAUUGGGCGUAAAGGGCUCGUAGGCGGUUACGUAAGUCGGAUGUGAAAACUCCAGGCUCAACUUGGAGACGCCAUCCGAUACUGCGUUGACUUGAGUCCGGUAGAGGAGUGUGGAAUUCCUAGUGUAGCGGUGAAAUGCGCAGAUAUUAGGAGGAACACCUAUUGCGAAGGCAGCACUCUGGGCCGGUACUGACGCUGAGGAGCGAAAGCAUGGGUAGCAAACAGGAUUAGAUACCCUGGUAGUCCAUGCCGUAAACGGUGGGCACUAGAUGUGGGGACUUUCAACGGUCUCCGUGUCGUAGCUAACGCAUUAAGUGCCCCGCCUGGGGAGUACGG